rnacentral:rRNA from 1 species
AGAGUUUGAUCCUGGCUCAGGACGAACGCUGGCGGCGUGCCUAAUACAUGCAAGUAGAACGCUGAAGACUUUAGCUUGCUAAAGUUGGAAGAGUUGCGAACGGGUGAGUAACGCGUAGGUAACCUGCCUACUAGCGGGGGAUAACUAUUGGAAACGAUAGCUAAUACCGCAUAACAGCUUUUGACACAUGUUAGAAGCUUGAAAGAUGCAAUUGCAUCACUACGAGAUGGACCUGCGUUGUAUUAGCUAGUAGGUAGGGUAACGGCCUACCUAGGCGACGAUACAUAGCCGACCUGAGAGGGUGAUCGGCCACACUGGGACUGAGACACGGCCCAGACUCCUACGGGAGGCAGCAGUAGGGAAUCUUCGGCAAUGGGGGCAACCCUGACCGAGCAACGCCGCGUGAGUGAAGAAGGUUUUCGGAUCGUAAAGCUCUGUUGUAAGAGAAGAACGUGUGUGAGAGUGGAAAGUUCACACAGUGACGGUAACUUACCAGAAAGGGACGGCUAACUACGUGCCAGCAGCCGCGGUAAUACGUAGGUCCCGAGCGUUGUCCGGAUUUAUUGGGCGUAAAGCGAGCGCAGGCGGUUUAAUAAGUCUGAAGUUAAAGGCAGUGGCUUAACCAUUGUUCGCUUUGGAAACUGUUAAACUUGAGUGCAGAAGGGGAGAGUGGAAUUCCAUGUGUAGCGGUGAAAUGCGUAGAUAUAUGGAGGAACACCGGUGGCGAAAGCGGCUCUCUGGUCUGUAACUGACGCUGAGGCUCGAAAGCGUGGGGAGCAAACAGGAUUAGAUACCCUGGUAGUCCACGCCGUAAACGAUGAGUGCUAGGUGUUAGGCCCUUUCCGGGGCUUAGUGCCGCAGCUAACGCAUUAAGCACUCCGCCUGGGGAGUACGACCGCAAGGUUGAAACUCAAAGGAAUUGACGG